UUCCAGUACGACGUAGGAUUCUAUGACACUGAUGAUGACGAAAAUGUUAGGUUUAUGCAAAGCAAGCAGACAAAAAUGAAUAAAUAUUUGUUUUUAUGGAAUGGUUUGAUUUUAGGGCAUGGGAGACUUUCUGAACGAAAUAACUGAUAUGAUGGUGCAGACAAAAUCUAAUGAAAACGGAGAAGAAAGCUUAGAGGAAUUACAGGACUUGUUUGAAGAAAUGUUCCAAGCUGACAUUGAUUCAUUUGUCUUCGUUUGGGUCAUACGGUGAGAGUUCCAAGAGGAAUU